UGGGGAAUAUUGGACAAUGGGCGCAAGCCUGAUCCAGCAAUGCCGCGUGGGUGAAGAAGGUCUUCGGAUUGUAAAGCCCUUUCGGCGGGGACGAUGAUGACGGUACCCGCAGAAGAAGCCCCGGCUAACUUCGUGCCAGCAGCCGCGGUAAUACGAAGGGGGCUAGCGUUGCUCGGAAUGACUGGGCGUAAAGGGCGCGUAGGCGGCUUGUAUAGUCAGAUGUGAAAUUCCUGGGCUCAACCUGGGGGCUGCAUUUGAUACGUAUGGGCUUGAGUGGGGAAGAGGGUCGUGGAAUUCCCAGUGUAGAGGUGAAAUUCGUAGAUAUUGGGAAGAACACCGGUGGCGAAGGCGGCGACCUGGUCCUUGACUGACGCUGAGGCGCGAAAGCGUGGGGAGCAAACAG
rnacentral:rRNA from 1 species